rnacentral:rRNA from 1 species
GUGUCAGCAGCCGCGGUAAUACGAAGGGUGCAAGCGUUAAUCGGAAUUACUGGGCGUAAAGCGUGCGUAGGCGGUUUCUUAAGUCUGCUGUGAAAGCCCCGGGCUCAACCUGGGAAUGGCGGUGGAUACUGAGAAGCUGGAGUACGGUAGAGGAAGGUGGAAUUCCCGGUGUAGCGGUGAAAUGCGUAGAGAUCGGGAGGAACAUCAGUGGCGAAGGCGGCCUUCUGGACCAGUACUGACGCUGAGGCACGAAAGCGUGGGGAGCAAACAGGAUUAGAUACCCCUGUAGUCC